UUAUCUUUAAUCAAAAAAAAA
rnacentral:piRNA from 1 species